GAGUUUGAUCCUGGCUCAGGAUGAACGCUGGCGGCGUGCCUAACACAUGCAAGUCGAACGAAGCACCUUUUGAGAUUCUUCGGAUGAUCGAUCGGUGACUGAGUGGCGGACGGGUGAGUAACGCGUGGGUAACCUACCCUGUACAGGGGGAUAACAGCUGGAAACGGCUGCUAAUACCGCAUAAGCGCACGAGGGGACAUCUCCUUGUGUGAAAAACUCCGGUGGUACAGGAUGGGCCCGCGUCUGAUUAGCUGGUUGGCAGGGUAACGGCCUACCAAGGCAACGAUCAGUAGCCGGUCUGAGAGGAUGAACGGCCACAUUGGAACUGAGACACGGUCCAAACUCCUACGGGAGGCAGCAGUGGGGAAUAUUGCACAAUGGGGGAAACCCUGAUGCAGCAACGCCGCGUGAGUGAAGAAGUAUUUCGGUAUGUAAAGCUCUAUCAGCAGGGAAGAUAAUGACGGUACCUGACUAAGAAGCUCCGGCUAAAUACGUGCCAGCCGCCGCGGUAAUUC
rnacentral:rRNA from 1 species